AAUGAACGCUGGCGGCAUGCCUAACACAUGCAAGUCGAACGAGACCUUCGGGUCUAGUGGCGCACGGGUGCGUAACGCGUGGGAAUCUGCCCUUGGGUUCGGAAUAACAGUUAGAGAUGACUGCUAAUACCGGAUGAUGUCGUAAGACCAAAGAUUUAUCGCCCAAGGAUGAGCCCGCGUAGGAUUAGCUAGUUGGUGAGGUAAAAGCUCACCAAGGCGACGAUCCUUAGCUGGUCUGAGAGGAUGAUCAGCCACACUGGGACUGAGACACGGCCCAGACUCCUACGGGAGGCAGCAGUGGGGAAUAUUGGACAAUGGGCGAAAGCCUGAUCCAGCAAUGCCGCGUGAGUGAUGAAGGCCUUAGGGUUGUAAAGCUCUUUUACCCGGGAUGAUAAUGACAGUACCGGGAGAAUAAGCUCCGGCUAACUUCGUGCCAGCCGCCGCGGUAAGAC
rnacentral:rRNA from 1 species